rnacentral:rRNA from 1 species
GAUGAACGCUGGCGGCGUGCCUAAUACAUGCAAGUAGAACGCUGAAGGAGGAGCUUGCUCUUCUGGAUGAGUUGCGAACGGGUGAGUAACGCGUAGGUAACCUGCCUGGUAGCGGGGGAUAACUAUUGGAAACGAUAGCUAAUACCGCAUGACAACAGUUAUUGCAUGAUAACUGUUUAAAAGGGGCAACUGCUCCACUACCAGAUGGACCUGCGUUGUAUUAGCUAGUUGGUGAGGUAACGGCUCACCAAGGCGACGAUACAUAGCCGACCUGGGAGGGGGGACGGCCACACUGGGACUGGGACACGGGCCAGGAUCCUUCGGGAGGCAGCAGGAGGGAAUCUUCGGCAAUGGACGGAAGGCUGAACGAGGAACGCCGCGGGAGUGAAGAAGGUUUUCGGGUCGUAAAGCUCUGUUGUAAGAGAAGAACGAGUGGGAGAAUGGAAAGUUCACACUGUGACGGUACCUUACCAGAAAGGGACGGCUAACUACGUG